UGGGGAAUAUUGGACAAUGGGCGAAAGCCUGAUCCAGCCAUGCCGCGUGUGUGAAGAAGGUCUUCGGAUUGUAAAGCACUUUAAGUUGGGAGGAAGGGCAUUAACCUAAUACGUUAGUGUUUUGACGAUACCGACAGAAUAAGCACCGGCUAACUCUGUGCCAGCAGCCGCGGUAAUACAGAGGGUGCAAGCGUUAAUCGGAAUUACUGGGCGUAAAGCGCGCGUAGGUGGUUUGUUAAGUUGGAUGUGAAAUCCCCGGGCUCAACCUGGGAACUGCAUUCAAAACUGACUGACUAGAGUAUGGUAGAGGGUGGUGGAAUUUCCUGUGUAGCGGUGAAAUGCGUAGAUAUAGGAAGGAACACCAGUGGCGAAGGCGACCACCUGGACUAAUACUGACACUGAGGUGCGAAAGCGUGGGGAGCAAACA
rnacentral:rRNA from 1 species